rnacentral:rRNA from 1 species
AAUUUUAAACAAAAUAAUUCGCCAGAGGACUACUAGCAAUAGCUUAAAACUCAAAGGACUUGGCGGUGCUUUAUAUCCCUCUAGAGGAGCCUGUUCUAUAAUCGAUAAACCCCGAUAAACCUCACCACCCUUUGCUAAUUCAGUCUAUAUACCGCCAUCUUCACCCAGGGUG